GAUGAACGCUAGCGGCAGGCCUAACACAUGCAAGUCGAGGGGUAACUAGAGUGAUAGCAAUAUUACUUUGGCUAGACCGGCGCACGGGUGCGUAACACGUAUGCAACUUACCUUAUACUGGGGAAUAACUUCGAGAAAUCGUCGCUAAUACCCCAUAACAUUGCGAAGAGGCAUCUCUUUGCAAUUCAAUCUCCGGCUGUAUUAGAUGGGCAUGCGUCCAAUUAGCUAGUUGGUGAGGUAACGGCUCACCAAGGCUACGAUUGGUAGGGGUUCUGAGAGGAUGAUCCCCCACACUGGUACUGAGACACGGACCAGACUCCUACGGGAGGCAGCAGUGAGGAAUAUUGCGCAAUGGACGAAAGUCUGACGCAGCCAUGCCGCGUGCAGGAUGACGGCCCUAUGGGUUGUAAACUGCUUUUGUACGGGAAUAAACCCUUCUACGUGUAGGAGGCUGAAGGUACCGUAAGAAUAAGCACCGGCUAACUCCGUGCCAGCCGCCGCGGUAA
rnacentral:rRNA from 1 species